ensembl:misc_RNA 7SK 7SK RNA
GGGUAUGAGGGUGAUCUGGAGCAUCUGUCACCCCAUUGAUUGCCAGAGUUGAUUUGGCUAAUCUGGCUGACUAGGUGGGUGAUCUCUUCUUCCCUCAUUGCUCCAUGUGAGUCCCUCCCAAAGAUGUGUGUUGAACUUCCCCAACAGAGGAGGAUUUUUCUUCAGUCAAAGGUAUAUGAGUAGCUGCACUUUCCUGCUAGAAACUCCAAACAAGGUCUUGAGGUCCAUUAAUAUUUUUUAUAUUAAACUAUGUAGUUAUCUUUAUCAGUGAUCUUUAUUUCUUCAUGUGGAUAAAAGUUACUUGU